rnacentral:rRNA from 1 species
GAUGAACGCUAGCGGCAGGCUUAACACAUGCAAGUCGAGGGGUACCAGAGGUAGCUUGCUACUUGCUGACGACCGGCGCACGGGUGCGUAACGCGUAUAGAAUCUGCCUCAUACUGAGGGAUAGCCUUUGGAAACGAAGAUUAAUACCUCAUAGUAUCAUUUAACGGCAUCGUAUUAUAAUUAAAGGUUACGGCAAAAGAUGAGUAUGCGUCCUAUUAGCUAGAUGGUAAGGUAACGGCUUACCAUGGCAACGAUAGGUAGGGGUCCUGAGAGGGAGAUCCCCCACACUGGUACUGAGACACGGACCAG